GGUUAUGGGUGAAAUUCAGGGACCUUGGCGCAAUUAACCCGUAGACCUGGGGGCUAGAUUGAAAGUUUGCCUCGGUUUUCUUUAUUUCCUAGAUCUAAAAAGGCUGAAACUUUGGAAAUUCGUAGUAAAUUUUAGAAAAAGCAUAAAAUAGCAAAUGAAUAUGUUUUGGAAUCCUUGUGAGAAGAUCUAUGCAGUAGAGUCAUAAUAUGAUAUGUGUUAGUAGAAAGUUUUUGAUGUUUUUAUUUAUCCUUGCAAAGUGCUUUUAGAAAUCCUUUUAAGUUGGUUGGGUGCAUAUUUUGAGUUAUAGAAGUCCAAAGGUUGUGAUUCCAGUUGUUUUAGUCUUGUG
rnacentral:lncRNA from 1 species